rnacentral:lncRNA from 1 species
CCUGAACUCCCACUCGUGUCCUUCCAGCAUCCACGGACAAAUUGUCAAGUUCUGCAUUGCUUUGUUCCAACACUUGAACCACUGGUUCUGUCCUCACUCCAACUACGUUCUGUGCAUCAUUCAUGAUGACAUCAUUGUUUACUGAUGGAGAACAGAGUUGAUCAUUUGUUGGCUGGGAUGGAUCACCUCGAGGCUCAUCAGCUUCAUUAAAU